rnacentral:rRNA from 1 species
CACUGGAACUGAGACACGGUCCAGACUCCUACGGGAGGCAGCAGUGGGGAAUAUUGCACAAUGGGCGCAAGCCUGAUGCAGCCAUGCCGCGUGUAUGAAGAAGGCCUUCGGGUUGUAAAGUACUUUCAGCAGUGAGGAAGGAGGUAUCGUUAAUAGCGGUAUCUUUUGACGUUAGCUGCAGAAGAAGCACCGGCUAACUCCGUGCCAGCAGCCGCGGUAAUACGGAGGGUGCGAGCGUUAAUCGGAAUUACUGGGCGUAAAGCGCAUGCAGGUGGUUUGUUAAGUCAGAUGUGAAAGCCCGGGGCUCAACCUCGGAAUUGCAUUUGAAACUGGCAGGCUAGAGUACUGUAGAGGGGGGUAGAAUUUCAGGUGUAGCGGUGAAAUGCGUAGAGAUCUGAAGGAAUACCGGUGGCGAAGGCGGCCCCCUGGACAGAUACUGACACUCAGAUGCGAAAGCGUGGGGAGCAAACAGGAUUAGAUACCCUGGUAGUCCACGCCGUAAACGAUGUCUACUUGGAGGUUGUGGCCUUGAGCCGUGGCUUUCGGAGCUAACGCGUUAAGUAGACCGCCUGGGGAGUACGGUCGCAAGAUUAAAACUCAAAUGAAUUGACGGGGGCCCGCACAAGCGGUGGAGCAUGUGGUUUAAUUCGAUGCAACGCGAAGAACCUUACCUACUCUUGACAUCCAGAGAACUUAGCAGAGAUGCUUUGGUGCCUUCGGGAACUC